rnacentral:lncRNA from 1 species
UUUUCUUUCGGUCGAAUUCCAGCCCAGCAAAACCUCCUCUGCGUGUCUUCCUCAGCUCCACGAAUGCCCUGCUUCACUAGCUCUUGUCGCCCACCAGCAGUCCGCAUGCCUUCUCCACUGAGCAGCUUGGUUUUGCUGCCACUUGGCCGCUUCUGUCUUUCUUCGGUCAGCAAGCGGAAUUGAAGACCGCCGAAGGAAGCCGCACGAUUCCACCGAGUUUGGUCGGCUACUCACGUCCCAGCUGCAGCCCUCCUCCACACGUCUCCCAGCUGCCAGUGCCGGUCAACAACGAACCAGCAAAUAAUCCUCUAUUGACUCCGCAUCUCCAUCCCACGACUGCCAGCGAAGCCAGCUCCAUUCCAUCGAUCUUCAGCUCUUCACGCCAGCCUCCAUCGAAAGUCAGCAACCAGCAGUCCAGCGAAACUGCUCCUCAUCCACGCCAUCUGUCCACGAUCCAACUUCUCUCAGUCAACUUCAAGCCGCACCGAAGCCCCUUCGUUGACUGCAUCUCGUCCGCUCAGUCUUCAGCUGCGUGGACUCCUUCAGCUUGCUCAUCUCCACGAAGCAGGACGCCGAAGCUGCUUCUUUGUUGUUUCUCUCGCCUGGUCUGGCUUGCACUCUAGCUCACAGCCCAGCCCAUGAGGCCAAUGACUUCAGCCCAGCAAUUGAUUAAUUUCAGCAGCCCAUCAACUGAAAUUGGAGGCCCAAUUUCCAGCAAAGAAUUUUGAAGCCCAAGUGAAGUCAGUCCAGAAAUUUCAGCAGGCCCAAUUCAACUUGGGUCUAGCCCAAAAGCAGGAAACAAAUCUCAGUUGGGCUGAGAUUUGUUGGGCCAAGCCUAAGGCCCGGUCCCAAGCCCGCCGGUGUUGUCGAAAGUCCGAUUUCGGCCGCCGUCGCGUCGCCGUCGCGGUGUUCCGAUACCCGCUUUUAAUCAAGUGAGUUUUACUCACUAAAGCUUUAUUAGUUUGCUAAUUAUGUCUUAGGGUUGGUUAGAUUUAAUUAUAUGCACUUAGGUGGUUAGAUUAGGUUAGAACAAUUAAAUUAGUGACUUGAGGAUGCAUGUUAGGUGGUUAGACCUAGCUAUUAGCAAGUAGAAAUGUUUGGUUAUUUAUUGAAUGUAUCUCGGGAUUUUUCCCGACCCGUUUCGGGCUCCAAUAAGGCAAUAUGGGCCUAAAUUGGAUUUUUUAUGUUUAUUUAUUUAUUUUCGAAAUUUAUUUAUUUAAUUAAUUAUUUUUCCGGAAAUUCAACCGGGAUGGCCGGUGACCGGAAUUUCGUGCCGAUUGUCGUGGUGCAGACCGUUUAUUUAUUUGAGCUCUACGUUGUGUGGAAUUGAAUUUAUUGUGGAAUUUUAGGAAUUGUCCUAAAUUGUUUGUUAUUGAGUAUUUGAUUGGUAAUGGCUAAGCUUGGAUAUAUAGCGCCAGUACGUUGAUGGGCUAUAUAGUAGGGAGAAUGGUGAGACCAAUCAGGUACGAUAUUAUUGGAUAUACGUGGUUCGGUGAUUGGAAGUAUCACUGGCGAAAACGGCGCCUUAAAGAACGCACGUAAAUGACUUAUAGACACACGUGGUUCGGUGAUUAUGGGAAUAUCAUUGGUGAAAACGGCGCCUUAAAGAACGCACGAUGUUGUCUAUAGCCGAUGUCACCUUGGCGAAAACGGCGCCCUUGAAAGGACACGUGGUUCGGUGAUCAAGGUUAUCACUGGUGAAAACGGCGCCUUAAAGAACGCACGGUGUCGGUGAUCGGUAUGUCAUUGGCGAAAACGACGCCCGAGAAACACAUGUGAUUUGGUGAAUGAGUACACCACUGGGGAUUUGUGGUAUGAGUGGGAAUGACCUAGAGAGGGUCUAAUUGACAUGUAAUCGACUUAGUCGAUUGGCCAGUGCUUGAUCGAAUGUCGUGAAUUGUUUGAAUAUCUGUGUUUAACCUUGAAUUGCAGGUUGGGACUGAGGCUAAGGUAAGUCCUCUGACUCGUGUUGUGCUUAGGCAACCGUAUGGCGUAUUAGUUUAUUAAUCGAGUCUUAGUGGGUAGGACUCGCUGAGACGUGGUCUCAUUGGUUAUUGAAUAACCAUUUCAGGACCCUGAGGAAAAGCUGAGGAGGAAGAACCUGAAGGGGAGAAAGUAUUUUGAAGUAGAAGAUGAUCCAGAGAGGGAUUAUUGAAUAUAACCCAGAUGUGGAUUGAGAUCCC